AUUGAACGCUGGCGGCAGGCCUAACACAUGCAAGUCGAGCGGAUGAAGGGAGCUUGCUCCUGGAUUCAGCGGCGGACGGGUGAGUAAUGCCUAGGAAUCUGCCUGGUAGUGGGGGAUAACGUCCGGAAACGGGCGCUAAUACCGCAUACGUCCUGAGGGAGAAAGUGGGGGAUCUUCGGACCUCACGCUAUCAGAUGAGCCUAGGUCGGAUUAGCUAGUUGGUGGGGUAAAGGCCUACCAAGGCGACGAUCCGUAACUGGUCUGAGAGGAUGAUCAGUCACACUGGAACUGAGACACGGUCCAGACUCCUACGGGAGGCAGCAGUGGGGAAUAUUGGACAAUGGGCGAAAGCCUGAUCCAGCCAUGCCGCGUGUGUGAAGAAGGUCUUCGGAUUGUAAAGCACUUUAAGUUGGGAGGAAGAGCAGUAAGUUAAUCCCUUGCUGUUUUGACGUUACCAACAGAAUAAGCACCGGCUAACUUCGUG
rnacentral:rRNA from 1 species